rnacentral:tRNA from 1 species
UGAGAUAUCAGGAAUAGUCGGGAUAGCUCAGUUGGUAG